rnacentral:lncRNA from 1 species
UUAAGGCUGCAAAUGGGUCGGGUCGACCCGGGACCCGACCCGACCCGACCCGCUUUAGACCCGACCCGACCCGAAUUUUAGGACCCGCGGGGCCGGGUUGGGUCCUAAAUUUAGACCCGAUCUAUUUUUCGGGUCGGGUCGGGUCCAUCCNNNNNNNNNNNNNNNNNNNNNNNNNNNNNNNNNNAUAUAAAGCUAAAUGCCUAAAUCCUGCCUUCUCGCCUUCGGCCGCCCACGUGGUCCUACUCAGGCGCCGUACUGCAUUCUCCAGUCCACUGUCCAUUCUCCAUCAGUCCGUCGUUGUCCGUCUCCAUUCUCUCGAUCUCUUCUCUAGAGACUUCUUCCCUGGACGCUGGUUCUCUUCCCCUGUUCCACUUACCAUCCGAUCUUUCAUCCUUGAGGGUUUUGAGGUUCUUCGGUUCUUCCAUCCACCGAUCACUAUAGGUACUCCAUGAGUCUGUCCAUCUCUAUUCUCUUCUCUAGCAACUUCUUCUCUGGUUCUCCGCCACAUUCCAUCUAGUCUUUGAGGGUUUUGAGGUUCUUCAGUUCUUCCAUCCACCGACCCCCGUUCCUUAGGGUUUCCAGGUUUUCUUCUAUUGACUAAACUACUAGCCUACCCAUUCACACCUUUGCCGCUUCCAUCAACUGAUCAACCAACUCCGAGCGGUGAGAGCCUGAAAUCUUGCUGCAUGGGAAAGAUUGACCUCUAAGGCUCUAAAUCCCUCUAGAUCGACAGACUCCGAGCUUCUUUCCUCAACGAUCUAGUCUUCCUCAAACCCUAACUCCCUCAAAAGUUAAAACCUCCAUCAGCUUCUUCAAGAUACCUCAUCUCAAAGACUAAAACCCUUUCUAUUCCGAUUUCUCUCCUCUGUCUCUUGAUUUUCCAUCCUUUCAGCAAGAACUAGAGAAUCUCCAAGGAAGAGAAGAAGAAGAUGCACGGUAAGAUCAACUUCUUUUUUAUUUUUCAUCUUUUUAUAUUUUUUCUCUCUCUUUUUUUUUCUCAAUAUAGUUUUGAUUUGCUCGAUCUACUGCAGUGUGGUGUGGAUCCCUCUGCGAAGAAAGACUGGUAAGAGUGGUGCUGCAGCAGCCACUGUGGCUCCUUCCAUUUCCACUGCCCUGCAGCCCAAAAAACCAAAAGAAAAAGCUAAGCCACUAUCUCUUUUUUUUUUUAGUUCGUUUUCUCUUAAAAAAAUAAUCUUACUAUUUAUGAAAAUGUUAAUUAAUUAAUUUGAGUUUUUUNNNNNNNNNNNNNNNNNNNNNNNNNNNNNNNCUGCCCAUAUCUUUAGCCGUCCCAUCAUCAUUAAGGGCGACAUGAUAUUCGCCACGUGUCAUACGACGAUCUGCUGUUGCCCUGGGGAGGCGCGAUCUAGCGCUCGGGGCAAGUACUGUUGUAGCUUUUUUUUUUGGUUUACGUGGGCAGUUUAUAUCACAUAUCUAAUAAAAUCGAAAAAUAAAAUAUCUGUCAAGGCAACUCAACCUUAGUCGUCCACAACUAGCUCCCGUGUGCUACUCUUGUAGCUAGGGCUGGAAGUGGGCUCGGGCCGGCCCGAAGCCCAUCGGGUCGGGCCGCCCGCGGGCCGGGCUAUGGGCUAGGCCCAAUGCAUUUCGGGUCGGGCUUGGGCUGAAUAAUUAAGCCCAUUUCUAUUUCGGGCCGGG